GAUGAACGCUGGCGGCGUGCCUAAUACAUGCAAGUCGAGCGAACAGACGAGGAGCUUGCUCCUCUGACGUUAGCGGCGGACGGGUGAGUAACACGUGGAUAACCUACCUAUAAGACUGGGAUAACUUCGGGAAACCGGAGCUAAUACCGGAUAAUAUAUUGAACCGCAUGGUUCAAUAGUGAAAGACGGUUUUGCUGUCACUUAUAGAUGGAUCCGCGCCGCAUUAGCUAGUUGGUAAGGUAACGGCUUACCAAGGCAACGAUGCGUAGCCGACCUGAGAGGGUGGUCGGCAACACUGGAACUGAGAAACGGUCCAGACUCCUACGGGAGGCAGAAGUAGGGAAUCUUCCGCAAUGGGCGAAAGCCUGACGGAGCAACGCCGCGUGAGUGAUGAAGGUCUUCGGAUCGUAAAACUCUGUUAUUAGGGAAGAACAAAUGUGUAAGUAACUAUGCACGUCUUGACGGUACCUAAUCAGAAAGCCACGGCUAACUACGUG
rnacentral:rRNA from 1 species